CCUANGGGCGGCAGCAGUCGAGAAUUUUUCACAAUGGGCGAAAGCCUGAUGGAGCGACGCCGCGUGGGGGAUGAAUGGCUUCGGCCCGUAAACCCCUGUCAUUUGCGAACAAACCUUGUUAUUUAAAAGAUGGCAAGUUGAUAGUAGCGAAAGAGGAAGGGACGGCUAACUCUGUGCCAGCAGCCGCGGUAAUACAGAGGUCCCAAGCGUUGUUCGGAUUCACUGGGCGUAAAGGGUGCGUAGGCGGUCGGGUAAGUCUAACGUGAAAUCUUCAAGCUCAACUUGGAAACUGCGUCGGAUACUACUCGGCUAGAGGAAUGGAGGGGAGACUGGAAUACUUGGUGUAGCAGUGAAAUGCGUAGAUAUCAAGUGGAACACCAGUGGCGAAGGCGAGUCUCUGGACAUUUCCUGACGCUGAGGCACGAAAGCCAGGGGAGCAAACGGGAUUAGAUACCCCANUANUC
rnacentral:rRNA from 1 species